AUCUAACUGAUGUAUCCCAAAUAGGACGAAACGUGUGUCCUGGAU
rnacentral:hammerhead_ribozyme from 1 species